rnacentral:rRNA from 1 species
UACGAAGGGGGCGAGCGUUGUUCGGAUUUACUGGGCGUAAAGGGCGCGUAGGCGGCCCACCAAGUCAGGCGUGAAAGCCCCGGGCUCAACCUGGGAGGUGCGCUUGGGACUGGCGGGCUGGAGUUCGGGAGAGGAGCGUGGAAUUCCCAGUGUAGAGGUGAAAUUCGUAGAUAUUGGGAAGAACACCGGUGGCGAAGGCGGCGCUCUGGACCGAGACUGACGCUGAGGCGCGAAGGCGUGGGGAGCAAACAGG